rnacentral:rRNA from 1 species
ACUCCUACGGGAGGCAGCAGUGGGGAAUAUUGCACAAUGGGCGCAAGCCUGAUGCAGCCAUGCCGCGUGUAUGAAGAAGGCCUUCGGGUUGUAAAGUACUUUCAGCAGUGAGGAAGGUGGGUAUGUUAAUAGCAUACUCAUUUGACGUUAGCUGCAGAAGAAGCACCGGCUAACUCCGUGCCAGCAGCCGCGGUAAUACGGAGGGUGCGAGCGUUAAUCGGAAUUACUGGGCGUAAAGCGCAUGCAGGUGGUUUGUUAAGUCAGAUGUGAAAGCCCGGGGCUCAACCUCGGAAUUGCAUUUGAAACUGGCAAACUAGAGUACUGUAGAGGGGGGUAGAAUUUCAGGUGUAGCGGUGAAAUGCGUAGAGAUCUGAAGGAAUACCGGUGGCGAAGGCGGCCCCCUGGACAGAUACUGACACUCAGAUGCGAAAGCGUGGGGAGCAAACAGGAUUAGAUACCCUGGUAGGAUAGCG